UGAGGAAUAUUGGUCAAUGGGCGCAAGCCUGAACCAGCCAUCCCGCGUGCAGGAAGACGGCGCUAUGCGUUGUAAACCGCUUUUCCAGGGGAANAAACCUUCGACGUGUCGAGGCUUGCCGGUACCCUGGGAA
rnacentral:rRNA from 1 species